rnacentral:rRNA from 1 species
CUCGAGCGAGUGGCGAACGGGUGAGUAACGNGUGAGGAACCUGGACCUCAAAGAGGGGGGACAACAGUUGGAACGACUGCUAAUACCGCAUAAGCCCACGGGUCGGCAUCGACCAGAGGGAAAAGGAGCAAUCCGCUUUGAGAUGGCCUCGCGUCCGAUUAGCUAGUUGGUGAGGUAAUGGCCCACCAAGGCGACGAUCGGUAGCCGGACUGAGAGGUUGAACGGCCACAUUGGGACUGAGACACGGCCCAGACUCCUACGGGGGGCAGCAGUGGGGAAUAUUGCACAAUGGGGGAAACCCUGAUGCAGCGACGCCGCGUGGAGGAAGAAGGUCUUCGGAUUGUAAACUCCUGUUGCUGAGGAAGAUAAUGACGGUACUCAACAAGGAAGUGACGGCUAACUACGUG